rnacentral:lncRNA from 1 species
AGUGAUGUGAGUGAUCCUUUGACCUAUGGUGUCAUUGGUUAUUCACAGCGAGGCUACUGGGUUUGACUGCAUAUUUUUUUGAUCCCUAGCCAUUCAGGUCCUUGCUGUAUAUGAUUGAUUUCAGUAGGUUCAGGUUCACUAUUUGGAGUAGGAUGCACCUAGAUGGAAUCUAUCGAUCUUUGUAGAAAAGAAAAAGUGC